rnacentral:lncRNA from 1 species
CACAGUCCACAUACAGGGUUCUUAACCUGCGUUUUUACCUACAUUUUAGACUGACCCUGCUUGUGCCUGUGAACCAACCAACAAUCUCUGGCUGCAGCUCAGAAAGGACAAAAGAGAAUGGAUGAGGGAAACUUCCCAGGGCUUGUCUGGGUAUGCCCACAGUGGACUGGAGCCCAACCUGCACACUGGAGGAAGUGGGUGGAGCCACGUGGAUGUCAUGCCUUAUGCAGGGGAGGAGCCUGCUCUCUUCAGCUCCUGUGGUAAUGUGGGAAUUGAUCUGUGAGGAAACACUUUCUGAAAAUGUCAGAACUCUUGAAAACAUGGAUGAGGAAAAGCAUAAGUACUGCUUUAUGCUUGUCUUAUGAAUUUUAAAAGAUGUAAUUUAAAGGUACUUUAAAGUGAUAUUUGUGCCCUUGUAACUGAUUCAAAGUAGACUGCUAAGGACAAUAAGUAAUAAGAGUCUACAAAUAUCAAUAAAUUAUGAGAAAAAAACGGUCUAAUGGUACUUAAAAUUGCAUUGUGAUUUAUUAAAUAACAUAUUGAACAGC